AUUGAACGCUGGCGGCAUGCCUUACACAUGCAAGUCGAACGGCAGCGCGGGGCAACCUGGCGGCGAGUGGCGAACGGGUGAGUAAUAUAUCGGAACAUACCCUAGAGUGGGGGAUAACGUAGCGAAAGUUACGCUAAUACCGCAUACGCACUAAGGUGGAAAGUGGGGGAUUCGCAAGAACCUCAUGCUCAUGGAGUGGCCGAUAUCUGAUUAGCUAGUUGGUGAGGUAAAGGCUCACCAAGGCGACGAUCAGUAGCUGGUUUGAGAGAACGACCAGCCACACUGGAACUGAGACACGGUCCAGACUCCUACGGGAGGCAGCAGUGGGGAAUUUUGGACAAUGGGGGCAACCCUGAUCCAGCAAUGCCGCGUGAGUGAAGAAGGCCUCGGUUGUAAGACGUCUUUGUCUAGGGAAGAAACGGUAGAGUUC
rnacentral:rRNA from 1 species